rnacentral:lncRNA from 1 species
GGAGCGGGACGUGAGAACAGUCAGCGGAAGCAUAAAUCCAGCUGGGCCAGGCCCUCCCCACUGCAGUGGGCAGAGCAGGAGCCGGGGCUUUCAGGGGGCAGGUGUCUUUCAGGGGACAAGCGGGGCUGAGCGUUGCUCUAAUCAUGGCCCAUCCUCCCCUCCUCUGUGAUAAAUGACCCCAAGGAGAUUUUGGCGUUGAGACUGAGGUGGGGGUCGCAUGGGUGGGAGGGGAGCGAGGGAAGGUGAGGUAGCAUGGCAUCGGAUCUGUGCGGCUUUGAAACCGGUGUGCAUUUAUUCCCAGCCAUCAGAAUUUUGCCGGAGACUCUUUCGUGGCCCAGCCAGGAAAUGGAAGGGGAAGAAACUGGACUCAGCUUUGUGCCUGAGAGCUAGACAUCUUCGUUCACACCCUGCUUCUGUUCGUGAAGAGGCAAAUGGGAGCCAGGCCUGGCAGCUGGGGUCUCACUUUGGCAUCCAGGCUGGCCUCGAACUCAUGACAGUCCUGCCUCAGCCUCCCAAGAGCUGGGAUUAUAGGCCUGUGCCACCACAGCCAGCUUAACUUUCAUACUCUUAAAAUUGAUCUUCUUUUAUGGUAUAGGAGGCUUUCUUUCAUACUCUACGCCUUCAGUUUGGGACAAAAAUAAAACUAUGAUUAAAUUAUUGUUUACUUGUGUUGUGAUUGUACU